UCUAUUUACCUUUGCUUAACAAAUUUAUCAUAUCAUGCAUACACACACCUUUUCUUGGGUGUGAACAUAGCCAAAACACAAUGGCAUUAUCGAUAAUAAUAUACAUGCACUAUACCAGUCAUGUAUUUAGUAAUUUACAUUGCAUACACAUAUUCACAUUGUUAGAUUGUAUUCACAAUACAAAAGGACCCAUGACUUCCAGCGGAGACAUUUACAAUAAAAGGGAUUACUAUCGAAUGCCAGACACAUACCCAGGAGAUGCACUACGGGGACUCCUCGAUCUAGGGUCCAACAGUCACCUGAUCUGA
rnacentral:lncRNA from 1 species